GACGAACGCUGGCGGCGUGCCUAAUACAUGCAAGUCGAACGCAGUGGGGACGGGUGAGUAACACGUGGGUAACCUCCCAUCAGAGGGGAUAACACUUGGAAACAGGUGCUAAACCGAUCCUGAUGGAUGGACCCGCGGUGCAUUUGCUAGUUGGUGAGGUAACGGCUAACCAAGGCCACGAGGCAUAGCGGGCCUGAGAGGGUGAUCGGCCACAUGAAGACUGAGACGCGGCCCAGACACCUUAGAGAGGCAGCAGUAGGGAAUCUACGGCAGUGGACGAAAGUCUGACCAAGCAACGCCGCGUGAGUGAAGAAGGUUUUCGAAUCGAAAAACUCUGUGGUUAGAGAAGCGGUAUCGAACCAGAAAGCCAAGACGAACUAAGUGCCAGCAGCCACGGUAUAC
rnacentral:rRNA from 1 species